CUUCACCGAGGCAAACGUUCAAGCGACACGAAACAAGGAGCUGCGCCUGUUUAACAAGGUGUACUCAAGCACUUUGGUGUUCAGCUGCUCUAAAAUAAUCCAAUUAUAUUUCAUCUGCUACCUAAAUAAUACUGUGGAAGAAUUUAAAGGCUACCAGAAUGAUACUGUUCAGAAAUUACAUCUUCCAGCUGGGAAUAGAACACAAUUGACAGUUACUCUACAAAAGGACAUGCCAAAUCUGUGCAGAUUCAGAUGAUUACAGGGGAAUGCAUGUUCUCAUGCACUACGUGGGCAGGAAGAACAGAAAAGAUGCAACGAUUCCAUGCUGGCUAUUCAACAAUUUCAUGUGGAGCAGGGUGAAUGAAGAGCUCCCCAUAAAAGAACAGAGCUUUCCGAGACAUGAACCAAGGAAAAGCAAUUUACCUCAAAACGCUCGUCCUCACACCUGUAGAUGUGCUCUUC